GCCUUCUAUCCCGUCGGCCGUCGCCGCUCUCCCGACGCCGCCGCCGCCGCCGCCUCCUCGUGUAGCCCCCACCCGACGUCGUCCUCCUGCCCGUGGAUCUCCGUCGCCGCCUUCCCCGUAGAGCCCACGCACCCCCUCCACCCCCGGCCCCGCCGUCCCCGUUGAGCACUGAAUCCGCCGGCCGCCAGGUGCAGAUUGGUUUCUCGAUGGAGGCACCACCGUCGAGGGAGGAAGGAGCCUAUUGGCAUGGCAAUGGUGAAGAUGCUGCUUCGGACGAUGGCUCCUCCUGGUGUGAUUAUUCAGAUUCCCCAGGACAUGGUUCCAGCUUACACACAGAAUGGGCCCACAUGCAGGACCGGCUUCAUAAGAUGGGCUAUAGGGAAGGCAUAUCCGAAGGGCGGAAGGACGCUGCCCAAGAGGGCUUCAAUCUUGGGCAUAGGCAAUCUGCGCCUGUAGGAUACAAGUGGGGUCUCGUUCGGGGAAUUACUAGUGCAUUGGCUAGUCUUCCGGACAGUCUAAAAGAAAAGUUGCUGCUCGACGCCCAACGUAGGAGGGAACUUGAAGAUUUGCGCAACUCUGUGCAAGAAAUUUCACCAGAGGCUGCACUGCGGAUGUUUCAUGAGAGUAUUAUUCAGGAUAAUGCUCCGCUAGUGGAAAGCAGGCUUCAAACCAUUCCAAAUGAUCUUCUGCUGUUGUUGCGCGAAUGCCCAGAUGUUCAAGUUCCUGAAGAGUUGAAACGAGUUCCGUAAGCAAGGUCGAUAGUGAAAUUGCAAGCACCACUGAUUUUGAACUCUGGUAGAAUCACUUGGACUGAGUUCUUCUGAAGGAUGCAGUUACAGAAAAUGCUAGUUUGCAUCGGCUGGCUUCAGCAAAUGCACUCAAAUCUGCUCAACCGAAGGGCCCGAUCCACACCUCAGAGUUGCGAUGACCUACUGCUGUUAAUGGGAUGUUAACUGCAUGCUGAUAUGUCCUUUGAUGGUCCAUGGUAGUUAUUGGACUGCACACCGUGUCAGUAAGUUGUCUGCUUCUAUUUCUGUUACAGGGGUUGGUGUGAUUGGAACAUCAAGCUGUUGGUUUUGAGUGUUAAUGCCAUCUAUUCAUGGUGAUGCAUGCUUCAGGUUGGUGAGAGCAUCAAACCUUUGUAUCCGUUGUGACUUGUGACUGUUUGUUUUGAGUGUUAUAUUCAUGGUGAUUCAUGCUUGAUCAAUCUGCCUUCUUCACAUGUCCGUUUGGAGUGUUUCUUGUUGUUCCUAUUCAGUGCCAUUUAUUUGGUUUCAUGUGGGACUAUUCCUUGGUUGCUACUGAGCUGAAUGAAGUACCAGGCCCACAUGCAAGCUCUUUUUGUCUGUCUGCAUUGUUCAAGGCUGCAUCUUACACUCAUGACAUUGCAGGACAUAAUUUGAAAUGGUUUGGUGCGCAGCACCAGAAAUCCCUGGACGAAAUGAUCGAACCUUUGGAGAUUCUUCCGCCGUCUCUUGUUACCUGAUAUGGCAUUUCUGCCAUGUGAAUAGCUGUUUUCUUGCAUACAGUUCCUUUGUGUCAUUGUCAUUUAUUAUAUUUUCCUUUUGUUGUCCUUCAAGCAGUGCAUUAGCUAGUCUUCCUGAUGACAGUCUAAAAGAAAAGCUGCUGCUCGAUGCCCAGCAUAGAGGAAACCUUGAAGAUUUGAACAACUCUGUGCUAGAAAUUUCAGCAGAGGGCGCGCUGCAGCUGUUUCAAGAGAGUAUUCUUGAGGAUAAUCGUCAACCAGAGGAAAGCAAGCUCCGAACUUUUCCAAAGGACCUUCUGUUGCUGUUGCACGACUUCCCAGAUGUUCAAGUUUCUGAAGAGUUGAAACGAGUUCCGUAACCAAGGCCAUAAAUGAAAUUGCAAGCACCACUGGUUUCGAGAGAAAAAUGCACUCACAUCUGCUCAACUGAAGGACCCUGAUCCACUCCUAGCUCAAAAUUGCUAUGCCCUACUGCUGUUAAUGUGAGGUGAACUGCAUGCUGAUAUAUCCUUUGAUGGCCCAUGAUAGUUGUUGGACUGCACACCAUGUGUGUAAAUUGUCUGCUUCGAUUUCAAUUACAGCCUGUUGGUGUGAUUGGAGCAUAUCAAGCUGAGCAUGAGCAUCCAUCCUUCAGGACAUGAUUUUUUGGUGCGCACCAGAAAACUCUGGACCGAAUCGUCGAAUAUUUGAAAAUUCUGCUGCUGUUUCUUGUUACCUGACAUGGCAUUCGAUCACGCCUGUUCUGCAUCGUUGCACCCCAGCAGGUCUCAUUUUUGUCAUCACUAAAAUAUCAGCAUGAGCACAGCAGACCUAUGUACACAUGCACUACGCCACUACACUAUGAAGAACAGCUGACAAUGUGAGCAAGAUCUCAGGUGCUGGUGAGCAGCUCUCUACCCUCGCCGAGCAGGUCUCUGGCGCAAAUAUUGCAGUGACCACCAAGUUAGAACCCCAAUUACCAUCACAUCUGCUCCAGCUUGAACCCCAAACUGCAAUUGCAGGCAAAGCUUUUCUUGUCGUCGGACUUCUUCUCGCCCAGGGUAGGCGGCAGAACAGUCUCAAAGGCCUGGACAAGCAUCUCCACCUUCCUCUUCUGAGCACGGGCCAACUUGUUCACUGUCCUCCGAAGUGCAUAAUCGACCAUCCACUCCUCGGCAUUCUUGCGAUCAUCGGUCAUCUGAUGCCUGAGAUCAAUCUUCUCAGCAUCCGGAUCAGGCACCACCGGAAGAAAGUUGGGGGCCCUGGGGUUGAAUGCCCGGAUUCGCUCCCCGCCUCUGGGCGUUCUUCUCCUGGACAUGGUCAGCUUGUUUCCCUGGCUGGUUGCCGCGGCAUCAGCACCUGCAUCCUCGAAAUUCAUCCCACCAAAUGCACUUGAUAUGUCAUCCAUUGAGGAUUCCACUGAAGAGGAGCCGCCGCCGCCGCAAUCUGCAGAAUUGCGACAUUGUUCGCCGAUGGUCAGCAGUUUGUUUCUGGAAUUCAUUCAAGUGGUGGAAACUGAAACUGAAACUGGAAAGAAACAAGCGAUUUCAGGAAGAGAGAUUUCACCUUUGGACA